CCUCACGGCAAUGGCCGCUGAGCAAGAAGUGCCUGGAUCCAAGGCACCAUGGGGGGCUACUGCCUUUCCUUGGCACCCAGGCCAUGUACAGCAUGAGUUAACGAAGGACUCACUAUCCCACAGUGGAUUCAGACAUGAAAUGUCAGGGGGAUGUGCUUGUAGACUCAGCAGCCAGUUGGGCAUGGUCAGCCAAGAUGGCUGACAUGGCGCAGGCCAAUAUGGCGGCCAUGGAAGAGGUCAAGGUGGUUGCCAUGUCAUCAGGCAAGAUGGCAACCAUGGCACAGGCCGAGACAACUGCCACAACACUAAGCAGGAACUAAUUUACAGCCCCAUUGUUCCCACGUUGCAUUUGGAGUGGUUCUUCCACCUCAGAUCUCACGCUCCUGUUCCUUCAGGAGAGAAAGCUUAAAAAUGUGAUGUGAGUGCAACAGGAAGAGCAGAGACCAAUCAAUAGAAAUCGAAAGGAGACAUUAAACCAGCAGCUCGACAGUAGGACCUGGAUGGUUGGGUGACAGCAGCGAGCAACGGAGCUAAGAGGAAGGAGAGAGAGAGGCAGAGAGAGAGAGAGAGAGAGAGAGGAAAUCCAGCCAACAAGAGCCGUCUGUGUCAAUCCUGGCAAACGGGAGGCAAGGAGCUUCCCAAGGACAAGAUAUUCCGGACAACUCAGGAAUGCUUGUUCUGGGAUGUCCGCAGGGCACCCUGUGGUUCACCACCCCACACACCCCUGCUGCGAUUUCUGCCUUUCCUCAGCUUCAGAGGAGACUCAGCCUCCCCAAAAGCCCCAGUGGCUCCCUCUGCCAGCUAGCACGGGCUGCUCAGGCCAUCCUGAGCUCCCAGAGCGCAGGCUGAAGUGGCAAAUGCUGCUCAUGCUCACAAAAGCAAGGUUUUGCCAUCUUAGUGAGACACAGUGGCAACUCAGAGGCUCUGGAGGAACACUGGGUGCUGGCCAGAGAGAGGCUGGCUCUUAGCAAGUAAUCUCCCAUCCCUCUUGCUCUAAGCCAAGGGAAUGGGAAGGGUUUCGCCUUCCUUUUAGCUCUGCUCAACACAGAAGACUGUGUAUUUAACCCUCAGUGGGGGAAUUUUGGGGUGAUGGAAAAUAUCAUCUAUUUUUUUGCCAAGAGGGGAAAAAAAAGCCUGAAAAUGACAAUAACAAAUACAAAAUUGCCUUCAGAUUUCUGGGCUUUGGUUUUUUUUUUAAAUAAAAACCUGCAAAUGUUCCAUCUGUUUUCAUCAAAAUUUUGUGCAAGAGGCAAAUAAUGCUUGGAUCAUUGCUUUUGUCUUGAUUGCUCCAACCUCCUGCUCCAGAACACAGCAGUUUCUGGGCAGGGAGCGGGGAGCCCUGUGAGAAGCAACCACCUCCCACAGUGAUGGGGAAGCUGCACCCUACCAGACACCAAAGAUGCAAAGUUUGCAGUAAAAGGUUGUCCUGCAGACUCCAUACAAUUACUUCUGGCAGCUUUCAGAAGGAAGAUCUGGUAGAGGGUGGUGACCUGCUACCAUGCUAAGAAGACUGCAGAGACCUCAUUCAGUCUCUUGCCCUGAACAAAGCUCUACCCAUAUACUCCCAGCCUAGGUGAACAUCAUGCACCUCCUUGCCCAGCUCCACUGUGACUUUGCAAAAAGUCAUUUGUAACCUACAUUGACACCACAAAGUUCAUUUCCAACACAAUCCCCUCUAGGCAAGAGCAGGCCCAGAGGACCCAAAGCAUCCUCAGCACAGUGGGGUGACUUGGCAUGGGGGGAAUACUAGGCAACAGCAGGCUUGGGCUCUGGUUUGUCUCUGCAGAGGGAAGACAUCCAACUCGCCACCUACUGCCCUGAUUCUGUACACGCCUUCACAAUGGUGCUGGCAGGGUUUUUCGCCCUGGCAGCUGUGUCAGAGAUUGACAAGAGCUUUAAAAAAUUUGGAGGGAAGUGAGGCUCUGUGUCUUUAUUAAGAAAUCAAUGAAACCCAUAGCUCCAUCACACAAAAUCCAGCCCUCCUACCCUUUUCAACCCUGGCUGGCUGGGCUGCAGGUCAUCAGCACCUGUCAGAGAGGCCCACACUGGAGGUACCUAAAUAAAAACAGGCACCAUGCAAUCUCGCAUCUGGAGGAACCUUAAAUUCCUUCUGUGAUAUCUAGAGCAGACACUCUGGGAGAAGGUUUGCAUUGGGUCUUUGAUGGGUCUCCCCACAUCUCGAAGGGACAAAUCUGAUCACAAUGGAAAAGAAUCAAAGGUGGAGUUGGUUGGGGCUGCCUGGUCCAAGGGCUGUCAGAGCCAGCAGGAGCUUUCCUAUUGUCACCAUCAUCCUUCAGAUGAGUCCAAAUUUGGAGGCAUGCCCUGGAUCACAGCCUUUGGGGGUAGUGGGGCUGGUUCAUUGCCAAGCCUCAAGACAAAGUGCAAAGGAAGGGUACUGCAUUAAGAUACGUUUCUCCAAAGUGAGGAAGCAGGGAAUAACUCCAGAGCUCUGAUUCAGAUCCUUGUCUGCAUACGUGGUGUGUCAUUAAGGGAGAAAAGCUGGCAGCAAGCUCCAGUUGCUUACUACUGCACUGGCAGGAAAGACAAAUGCAGAGCAUAAGAUAAAUGAGGCACUUCUAAGUGCGAGAAAGUCAAUACUAUAGAGACCUUCAAACUGGAGUCUGGGGAACAGCCAGCAAUUCAGCUCGCUGGUACAGACAGGAAGACAUCUCUGUGUGCUGAGAGUUUAUCAGUUGUUUGGACUGGUACAUCCCUAUAGGGUGACAAGACAGGUGGCCACAUGGGACUGGACUUGGGCUCAAGUCCUUGCAGGGGCCCACCGGGAGGGAUUGCUCAUGCACCAUCUGUGUUGUGGGAGCUCUUGGAGGAAAUCAGAGCCUUGCUGUGCAUCAUAAUGUUCCACUAAAAAAAACGACUAAGUCCUGGUGUAAGACAGUCUCCAGUGUGAUCAGGCAAAGAGCAAGAUGGAACAGAAGAGUGACUUGCUCAAAACCUCAUUAAAAAGCCAGACUGAUCUCCCUGAUCCUGCUCUUCAAGAUGCCUGGAGACACCCAGAAACACUGGGCAUCCCAAAGGCUCUGCUACAUGUCAGAUCCCAUCCUUUAUCAUCCCCUCUUCCCUGCUGUGAUGCACAGAGAGGAUGCACCUUCUCCAUGGCCCUGCAAGAGCCACUAGCCAUGGUGGGAGCUAGCUUGCUCUGCUGCACAGCAUCAUGGCACAGCUGUGUGUGAGACUGGAUUAAAUAUGGCUGUGAGUGCAUGCACAUGUGCUGGGUCCGACAGCUGAAGGAAAUGCAAACUGAUCCACCAGAGGAAAGAAAGGAAGAUGCUGCCCUCUUUUUUCAAUUAUAUCCAGGUCCAAGGUCGGCGACCUCAUCCCUCCUGCACUUCAGUAUCUUGUCACACAAAACCCAGAGAGAAAGGGAAUGUGAUAAAGAUGAAAGUGAUGUGGCAGGCUCGUAUGUGAAAACAAUCACCCUUCAAUUAAGUGUGAUUGAUUUCCCAAAUCAGAGAUGCAUUCAGCUUCCAACAGAUAGAUAUGAGCGAAGGCCAGAUGCUAGGGAAUUCAGCACACGUGCUUGGGCUAGGACACCACAAUGAAACAAAAUGGAGAUGCCAUAAAGUACCAGGUGCUUUGAGAUGAGUCUGAGAUGGGCAUAAAGUCGAGACGCAAAAAAUUUUCCACCCUCAAAGGAAAGCUCAGGGCUUGGAAACAAGAUGCAGAGGAAAAAGGUGUUUUUCCAUGCAGUGAAACUACAGCUUUGUAGAAGAUUUGUCAUAUGAGAGCAGCAGCCAGGGACAGCCCAAAAGAGAGUGGGGACUUGGCAGAUGGGUAGAAGAGAC